rnacentral:rRNA from 1 species
AUUGAACGCUGGCGGCAGGCCUAACACAUGCAAGUCGAGCGGUAGCACAGGGGAGCUUGCUCCCUGGGUGACGAGCGGCGGACGGGUGAGUGAUGUCUGGGAAACUGCCUGAUGGAGGGGGAGAACCACUGGAAACGGUAGCUAAUACCGCAUAACGUCCCAAGACCAAAGAGGGGGACCUUCUGGCCUCUUGCCAUCAGAUGUGCCCAGAUGGGAUUAGCUAGAAGGUGGGGUAAUGGCUCACCUAGGCGACGCUCCCUAGCUGGUCUGAGAGGAUGACCAGCCACACUGGAAGUGAGACACGGUCCAGACUCCUACGGGAGGCAGCAGUGGGGAAUAUUGCACAAUGGGCGCAAGCCUGAUGCAGCCAUACCGCGUGUGUGAAGAAGGCCUUCGGGUUGUAAAGCACUUUCGGCGAGAAGGAAGGUGGUGAGCUUAAUACGCUCAUCUAUUGACGGUACUCGCAGAAGAAGCACCGGCUAACUCCGUG